UCUCUCUCUCUCUCUCUCGUUCAAUCUCAAAGAGAAUCGCUUCCAUAGUCACCUCCUCCGUUAGCCCCUGCCCAGAAGGUCAUCUCCCUCAAAGACAAAGGGCUUCAUAUUAGUUAGUAUCUAACUAAAAGUUCAUGUGAUCAAUAAGAACCAAUUCUAGUUUUUCAAUUUUUAGUAUUUAUUCCUCUUUUGCAUAAAGAUUUAAUCCCAAUAAAUUUCCUUCACCUUUAUGUGUUUUCUUCUCUUUGUUGUAGUUAGAUUUUAAAGAACAUUGCUUCAUAGUCGUCUCCUCCAAUAGACAUGAGCCGUUGCCGCUUCUCGUUGGGUCGUCUCUCUCCGUCUUUUGACGUCAGCCCGUCAAUUAUCACUAUCAGGUUUUUCACUUGCUUAUAUUGCAGAUUUUUGUAAUUUAUGCUUUGAAAAAAAAUUAGAUUGUUUGAAUGGAUUUUGGCUGAGAAACAAAUUUCAAGUUGAGAUAUACCAUGUUAAAUGUCUUUUUUUAUUAUAUUUUUAAUCUUAAUGGAAAAUGGGGAAAGGUGAGAAAUUGAGAGUAAUAAACUUGCUUAUAUUGAGAAGUUAAGCACUUUUUCUCUUUAGCAAUCUCAGAUUGUUGUUGUUGGUUUUGAGUGAGAAAUCCUUUUUUAGUUUGUACUUUUGAUAUGGAAUAGAAAUCAGUUGUGUUCCUUGAUGCGGUGAAGGACAUUUUCCUUGGCUCAUUGUUGAAUCAACAGUUAUGUUUUGAGUGAGAAAUCAGUUAUGUUUCCUUCAUUACAAUAGUUCUGUAAUCUUAUGAGUGAUCGUCACUUGGGUUGUCUUCAGCCACAUUAAUUCUUCUAGUUUAAAUUUAAGGUUAAACAUAUACAAAAUUAUUCUUCUAAUUCUAAUUCUAAUUUGGUAAUCCAAUUUGUGUUACAAUGAAGAGAUUUUACCCUCUAGUAUCUUCUAAGUUGCCAUAACCAAGUUCAUCCUCUCCAAUUGCUAUUCUCGUGGAACAAAAUUUGAACCAAUUAGAAGAGCAACCUCAAUCCUCUAAAAGACAAAGGCAAGGAAUAGAUCUUGAUUCUUUACCGACUGAUCCAAAGGAGAGAAUACCCACUAGAGAUUAUCAUCCAAAUGAGCGUGAUGAGAUUAGAAGAGAAUAUCUCUGAAGAGGUCCUUACCAACCCCGAUAUCAUAAGUUUCCUCAAAGAGAUUUUUCGAGCUUAAAGCGCAGUUUCAAUCCUAAAUGGUUUGAUGAAUAUGAUAAUUGGUUGGAGUACAAUGUGAUAGAAAAUGGAGCUUAUUUUUUGUAUUGUUACUUGUUUCAAGAUGAAGCAUUCAUCAAGGUGGAGGUGAUGUAUUUUCAAGUUUAGGAUUUAAGAGUUGACAAAAAAAGAAGAGAUUCGAUAUGCAUAUUGGUAAGUCGAGCAGUAUUCAUAAUCAUGCAAAAAGGAAAUGUGAAGAUUUAUUAAAACAAAAAAGAGUCAAUUCAAACUUCAUUUGAUAGGCAAUCCAGUCAAACCAAGCUCGAAUACACAAUUCGCUUAAAGGCUUCAAUUGAGGUUGUGAGGCUCCUAUUAAAUCAAGGAAUGACAUUCUGUGGACAUCGUGAAGAUGAAUCAUCAUUAAACAAGGGUAACGUUCUUGAGAUUCUUUCAUGGUAUGCAGAGAAGUGCGAUAAAAUCCGUGAUCUUGUGUUGAAAAAGGCUCCAAAGAAUGAUCAGUUGACCUCUCAUAAAAUUCAAAAAAAUAUUAUCAUUGCAUGUAAAAUUGAAACACUUAAAGCAAUUAUGGACGAUCUAAAUGGAGACCUUUUUGCAUUGCUAAUUGAUGAAUCAUGUGAUGUAUCACACAAAUAGCAAUUAGCUAUUGUCUUGUGAUAUGUUAAUAGAUGUGGAUCUGUGGUGGAGCAUUUUACUAGGAUCGUUCAUGUUCGUAAUACUAGUGCUUUAUGUUUAAAGAAAGCAAUUGUUGAUUACCUUGCUCAACAUUCUUUAAGUUUAUCUUAUGUGUGUGGACAAUGUUAUGAUGGAGCAAGCAACAUGCAAGAGGAUUUACACGGCCUCAAAACUUUGAUUCAAUAAGAAAGUAAAUCCGUUUAUUCCAUUCAUUAUUUUGCACACCAACUUCCAUUGACUCUUAUUGGCGGUAUCUAAAAAGUGUCUUGAAGUGGGAGAAGUUGUAUUGUUCGUUUCUAAUGUAUUGAAUAUAGUGGGAGGCUCUUUUAAACAUAUGGAUGAUCUUCGAGAAUCUCAAGCAGAAAAAGUUCAAGAGGCAUUAGACAUGGGUGAACUUGAAACUGGUAGGGGUUUGAAUCAAGAACUUGGUCUUGCCAGAGUUGUCGAUACUCGUUGGAGUUCACACUACAAAUCUUUUAAGAACUUUAUUUCUAUGUUUGGCUCAAUUAUUGAUGUUCUUGAUACUAUCAUUGUUGAUGCCCGGAAUUUAGAAGAAAGAGCUAAGGCAAAGGGAUAUCUUAGCACUUGUCAAACAUUUGAGGUUACUUUCAUGUUGCACCUAAUGAGAGAUGUUUUGGAGAUCACAAAUGAGCUUAAUACGUCCUUACAAAAAAAAAGGAGCAAGAUAUUGCAAAUGCUAUUCUACUUGUUUAAGUGAAAAAGAAACAGUUGCAAAAUCUAAGAGAAGAAAAAUGGGAUUCACUUAUUGAUAAGGUGUCUACAUUUUGUGUCAAGUAUAAUAUUUUGAUACCAAACUUUGAUGACUUCUAUGUUUACUCUGGAAGAUCUCGACGUAAAGUUGUUGAUUAUACUGUUUUACAUCACUAUCGUGUUGAUAUAUUUUUUAAGAUUAUUGAUUGGCAAGUUCAAGAACUCAAUGCUCGUUUUAAUGAGGUGACAACGAACUUGCUUGUUGGAGUAGCUUGCUUAAAUCCAGUUGAUUCAUUUUCCAGUUUUGACAUAAAUAAAAUAUUGAUGAUGGCUGAAUUGUAUCCUGGCGAUUUUGAUGAGAAUAUAAUGGUUACGCUCAAGAAUUAACUUGAAACUUAUAUUGUUGAUGUUCGUGAUGUUGAUGAAAGGUUCUCCAAAUCUACAAGGACUUGUUGAUAUUUCUGACACACUAGUUAAAACAAAGAAGUAUUUGAAUUAUCCAUUUUGUUUCACCUUGUGAAAUUUGCUUUGCUUCUACCAGUUGCCACUGCUAUAGUUGAAAGAACUUUCUCGGCGAUGAAGUUGAUCAAGAGUGAAUUGCGGAACUGAAUGAAUGACGAAUUCAUGAGCUGUUAUUUGGUACCUUAUGUAGAAAGAAAAAUAUUUAACACCAUUUUUGAUGAGACUAUUAUGAAUACGCUUCAAGAAAUGAGAACUCGUAGAGAACAUUUCUAAUAAUAUAUUUUAUUCAUAUAUAGUUUUUGUUGACCUCUUUGUAUAUUUAUUUCUUUGCAUUUUGAACCCGCUUGAUAAAAAUUUUGGGUCUGCCACUGGUCCUAACCGACCUUCUAUCUAAAAUUAAAUAUACACCAUUGUUACAAGUACAUGAGAAAAUUUUGUGCACUUUUCUCAAAGUAUUUUGGCACAUUAAUCUGUUCGCGAUAGUUUUCGUUAAAGACAAGGACAAGUACUAGAAAAUUUACUAAUGACCAACUAUAAUAUUCUAAGGGAUUGUUAAUUAUGGGAUAAACAAAAAUAUCCUAUGGGCUGAUAUCCCAUGAGAUUAACUAUCCCCGAAUAGGUAAACUAUCGUUUUAAUAUAAAAUUAUAUUGGCAUUAGUUAAUAGCACAAUCAAACAUGGGAAUAAAUACAAUCCAAAUUUUAUUCCGAUAUUAAUAUCCUUAUCCCGGUAAUUACACGACCCCUAAAGUAAAGGAUAAUAUUAAGAUAUUUCAUGCAAGAAUGAUAUUGCUAACAUAACAUAUAGAUAUAUUGGUAUUUUAUAACAUUGUCAAAGUCACUUUUUUCCUUCUCUUUUUCGUCCCCCCCCCCCACCCACACACACACACCAAAAAAAACCCAUUUUAGAUCAAUGAGCACCAAGUAAUAGUGAUUUCUGAACUAUUGAAAAGAAAAAUAAGGAAACAAGCUAAGUUGAUGAACUGGUUUAUUCAACAUUUUUAUUGAUAAGAGAUUGUAGGUAUUAGUUAAAUUAGUCGAGGUGCACAUGAAAUAAUUGUAACGACCCGACCGAUCGUUUUGAACUUUUGCACUUUGCUCGCCAGUUCCCAGGCAUGACUAGCCCCGUGUGAUGUAUUAUGGCUUAUGUAAAUCAUCAGUUUUGGUUUUCAGGGUAAUCGGAAUGAAUUUGGAAGAACAAUUCUCAGUUUGAAGCUUAAAAUUUGAAAGGUUUGACCAAGUAUUAACUUAUUAUUAUAUGAUAUCGAAUUGUAAUUUUUACGAUUUGGUUAGCUUUGUUAGGUGAUUUGGGACUUAGGAGCGUGAUCGGAAUGUAUUUUGGAGAUCCGUGGAAGGUUUAGGCUUGAAUUGACGAAAUUGAAAAUUUGGCAUUUUUCGGUUGGUAGUGAAAAUUUUGAUAUUAGGGUCAGAAUAAAAUUUCGAAAAUUGGAGUACGUCUGUUGUGCCAUUUGUGAUGUGUGUGUAAAAUUUCAGGUCAUUCGGACGAGGUUUGAUAGACUUUUUGAUCAAAAGCAGAAUUUAGAAGUUUUGAAAUUCUUAGGCUUGAAUCCGAGGGUGAUUUGAUGUUUUGAUGUUGUUUUUAGCGUUCCGAAGGUUGGAACAAGUUUGAAUGAGGUUAUGGGAUGUGUUGGCAUAUUUGGUUGAGGUCCCGAGGUCCUCAGGUGUGUUUCAGGUGGUUAACAUAUCAAUUUUUGAACUUUGGACUUGGCAGAUUUGUUGGUGUUUUUUGUUGCAGAAAACUCUUCUUCGCGUUCGCGAUAGGCCCUCGCGUUCGCUAAGGAUUGUUGAGUGAGGUUGCAGGUCUGUUCUUCGCGUUCGUGAUGCAGGUCCCGCAUUCGCGAAGGUUCAGGUGAUCAAGUUACGCGUUCGUGACCAGGAUAUUGCGUUCGCGUAAGGUCGAGUUGUGUGGUCUUCGCGUUCGAGAUAGGGCCUCGCGUUCGCUAAGGGUUGUUGAGUGAGGCUGCAGGUCUGUUCUUCGCGUUCGCGAUGCAGGUCCCGUGUCCGCGAAGGUUCAGAAGAUCAAGUUACGCGUUCGUGACCAGGAUAUCGCGUUCACGUAGGGUCGAGCUGUGUGGUCUUCGCGCUCGCAGGUGGGCCCUCGCGUUCGCGAAGGAGAGAAUUUUGGUCAGAGAAGCUUUGUGCUUCGCGAACGCGAGGGUGCUGCCGCGUUCGCGAUGAAGAAAAUAUCUGGGCAGUCAGAUUAUAUUUUAAAAAUCGAGGGUUUAAGUCCAAUAUCAGAAAAAACCAUUAGAGAGCUCGGGAGAAGGUGAAAUUUGAGGAUAUUUUCAGUGGAAUAAUUGUGGUAAGUAUUCUUCAUUCAUAUUUGGUUUAAUUCCAUGAUUUAGUCUUGAAUUUCAUCAUUUAAUUUGAGAAAUUAAAGUGGAAAUUGGGAAAAAUGGAAGAAAAGUUUGAGAAUUCUUUUGGGGAUUUGAAUGGGCAAUUGAGGUCGUAUUUUGAUGAAUUUGUUAUGGGUAGACUCGUGAGAGAAUAAGGAUUCUAGUUUUGUGGUUUUUAUCGAAUUUUCGAGACGUGGGCCUGGGGGUCAGGUUUGGCCAAAUUCGGGGCUCCUGGUGUAAAUUGGUUAUUUUCGAGUGGGCUUUGUUCCCUUGGAAUAUUUUGAUGGUAUGAACCUGUUUUUGGUUAGAUUUGGAGCAUUCGGAGGCCGAGUCGAGAGGUAAAAGCAUCGCGGGCUAGAGUUUGGACCGGAUUGAGGUCAGUAAUGAUUGUAAAUGUUUGUCCGGAGGGUAUGAAACCCCAGAUUUUACAUCAUUGUGCUGCUUUGAGGUGACGCGCACGCUAGAUGACGAGCGUGGGGUCAUGCACCGUUGGGGAUUGUGACUUAGUCCGUCCCGUAUGACUGUUAAACUGCAUAUUUGAUUGAAAGCCAUUCGAUAUUAUUGUGUUUUGGAAAGUAUUAUCAUGUUUUGGGCUGAAUGCCAUAUUUGGGCCUCGUGCCAACUGUUUUGGACCCUUAAGGGAUUUUUACUACUAUUCCUCACUGUUUUGACUUCAUAUUUGUACUCAAUCAUGUUGUAUACUACUGUUUUCAUAACUCAACCGUAUUUACUCUGUUUUGACAUUUUAAAUGAUAUUUUGGGUUGAGCAUCAUGUUUUACUGUGCCCGAGUGGCUUGAGAGAUUUCUGACUAAGUGAGGUCGAGGGCCUGUGUUGUGAGGAUAUUAUGAGAUCGGGAUGCGCGCCGCAGCAGUGUGUACUGAUUCAUGAUUUUGAGGCCGAGGGCCUGAUUUGUUAUGCCAUGAGGUGGCUUAUUAUGAGGCCGAGGGCCUGUUUGAUUAUGCCACGAGAUGACUUGUUAUUGCGCUUGGACGAGCCCCUCUAGGAGUCUGUACACCCCCAUUGAGCGCGGGUACCCAGUGUGAGUGAUAUGAUGUAGCCCGAGGGGUUGUUGUUGUUUCAUAUUGUUGUCCGAGGGGAUGUUCUUGAUCCAUGUUUUGCCCGAGGGGCAGUUCUUGAUUCAUGGUAUGCCCGAGGGGCUUAUUGCGAGUGAUUGUGAGGUAGCCCGAGGGGCUUUCUGUUGAUAUUAUGCCCGAGGGCGGUUUAUGGUACAUGUUUUGCCCGAGGGGCUGUUUACGUUCUAUCAUUUUUACUCAUUGUUUUAAUCACUCGUUUGAAACUAUUAAAAGUUGUUUUAAAAGGUUUUUUUUACUGAAACUGAGCUUGAUUUAUGAAGUAAAUGAUUUCUGUACUGUUUUGGAGAUGUACUGCAUUUGCUGUAGCGUUAUGACGUGGUUUACGUGUUUUCUUACUGCUCAGCUUUCAUUUACUUUUAUUUCUUACUGAGUUGGUGUAUUCACAUUACUUCCUGCACCUUGUAUGCAGAUUCAGGUAUUUUUGAAUCCGG
rnacentral:lncRNA from 1 species